rnacentral:lncRNA from 10 species
UCUAUUCAAAAUGCCACAUUACAUUUGGAUGCCAUGUCUCCUUAGGUUCCUGUGGGCUGUGUCAAUUUCUGUGACAUUUUUGAUGAUGUUGACACUUUGGAAGACUAUUGUGACACAGUCUCAUUCUGCUGUCUAAGCUGGAGUGCAGUGAUGUGAUCACAGCUCACUGCAACCUCAAAUUCCUGAACUGAAAUGAUCCUCCUGCCUCAGCCUCCUGAUUAGCUGUGAUUACAGGCAUGCUCCACCAUGCUCAGCUUAAAUUGUAACUUUUAAUGAGCAUUAGUUUCAUAUUUCUAAUGUGAUGACUCUGUUAUUAUGUAUAACACUGACUCAUGGUAAAGACUGUGAAAAUAAAUAAAACAUAAUAAAU